CUUUUACGACCACAAUGCUAUCAUUUAGUGUUUCAUUUUGUGUUUUAUUUUGGUAGGGCGGAAGUGUACGGUUGCUCGUGAGGGUGAACUUUAUGCCGCUAUUCAAUUCGGAGAGGUAGGCAACUGUUAUGUGAGGCGCAAACAGUUCCCUCGACGCGAGUGCUCGUGCUUUCAGUCAGGUUGUGACAAUACUUGGAUCAUAUUAUUUUGGCGACGUAUCGUGGAAUAAAACCAAAGUACUGCGACAGGUCGCUGACCUACUGGAAUGGACUCCGAGAACUGGAUAUGCAUGGUAAUAUCCUAGGACAGAGUUCUGACAGCGUGCAAGGGAUCAACGGGAAAAGAAGAGAAACAUUGGUAACAAUCAGAGGAUGGGUGAGACAGAGGAUGAGCGCACAGCUCAGGCCAGCCAGCUCUUUGAGAACUUUGUGCAAAUGUCCACGUGUAAAGGAACUCUUCAGGCCUUCAGUAUACUCUGCAGGCAGCUAGAGCUGGAUCCACUGGACUGCCGCAACUUCUAUAGCUCACUGAAAGCUGCAGUCAACUCUUGGAAGGUCAAGGCUCUGUGGACCAAACUGGACAAUCGGGCACAGCAAAAGGUGUACAACCAGAAUAAAGUCUGUCAAGGAACGAGGUGUCUGAUCAUUGGCGGUGGUCCUUGUGGUCUGCGGACAGCCAUCGAGCUGGCCCUCUUGGGCUGUAAGGUGGUUGUGAUUGAAAAGAGAGACACAUUCUCCAGGAACAAUGUGCUUCAUCUCUGGCCUUUCACCAUUGAGGAUCUCAGAGGCCUCGGGGCCAAGAAGUUCUAUGGCAAGUUCUGUGCUGGUGCCAUCGACCAUAUCAGUAUCCGUCAGCUCCAGCUGAUGCUGCUGAAGGUUUGUCUGAUUCUGGGGGUUGAGGUUCAUGUCGGUGUGGAAUUCAUCAAACUCUUAGAACCAUCAGAAAAGCAGGCUGAUGACAGUCAUAGUUGGAGAGCAGAUGUCCGUCCCUCAUAUCACUCGAUCUCUGACUUUGACUUCGAUGUGGUGAUUGGAGCUGAUGGACGCAAAAACACAUUAGAUGGUUUUGGCCGCAAGGAGUUUCGAGGAAAGCUAGCCAUUGCCAUUACAGCUAACUUUGUAAAUAGAAACACCACAGCAGAGGCCAAAGUGGAGGAAAUCAGUGGAGUCGCAUUCAUCUUCAACCAGAAGUUUUUCCUGGAACUCAAGGAGGAAACUGGAAUUGACUUGGAGAAUAUAGUUUACUACAAAGACAACACCCACUACUUUGUCAUGACUGCAAAGAAACACAGUUUGCUGGACAAAGGGGUGAUUAUUAAUGAUUACAUAGAAACGGAGCGUCUAUUAAGCACUCACAACGUAAACCAGGAAGCAUUACUCUCCUAUGCCCGUGAGGCGGCUGACUUCGGCACAAAUUACCAGCUACCAUCCCUGGACUACGCCAUCAACCACUACGGGCAGCCAGACGUAGCAAUGUUUGACUUCACCAGCAUGUAUGCCUCAGAGAAUGCUGCCUUGAUCAGGGAGAAACAUGGACAUCAGCUGCUGGUUGCACUGGUGGGAGAUAGUCUGCUUGAGCCCUUCUGGCCAAUGGGUACAGGUUGUGCUCGGGGUUUUCUGGCGGCAUUCGACACAGCUUGGAUGGUGAAGGGAUUUGCGCAAGGCAAAAACCCUCUGGAGAUACUGGCUGAGAGGGAAAGCAUCUAUCGGCUGCUGCCUCAGACCACCACAGAGAACAUCAGUAAAAACUUUGAUCAGUAUACCAUUGACCCCGCAACCCGCUAUCCCAACCUAAAUUCCACCUGUGUACGCCCCCACCAGGUGCGCCACCUGUUCUGUGAUGGCCAGUGGGACUCAAAUCGCUAUGAACGGCACAUAGGUAGACCGGUCAACCUUUCCAGAGGAGAAUCUGAGGUGCGUCCUGACCGGCUGCUGACCUGGUGUCAGAGACAGACUCAGGGCUACAGAGGGGUUAACAUCAGCAACCUGACAUCUUCCUGGAGGAGCGGCCUAGCCCUUUGUGCCCUCAUACACAGGCAGAGGCCCGAACUCAUUGACUAUGACUCCCUUAAUGAGGAUGACGUAGCAGCAAACAAUCAGUUGGCCUUUGACGUUGCUGAGCAUCAGCUUGGUAUUCAGCCAGUGACGACUGGAAAGGAGGUGGCUUUGGAGGCUGAACCGGACAAGCUGCUCAUGGUUUUAUACCUGUCUAAAUUUUACGAAGCCUUCUGGAACUCACCUGGAAGCAAAAAAGGAGCAAAAGAAACAGAUGAGAAUAGCGAAGAACAAUCAGCGCCAAGCAAUGUCUGCCACCCCAGGAAGAGAAUACCAAGGGAUGACAAAAAAAUACACGAUGAUUCGAUGAAUAAGAGACGACGAAAGGGUAACCUCUACCUCACAGAGCUAUCCUGUCACAGUGCGCCCUCAGCAGGUGAGGACAAGGAACUGCGGGAGAACAGGGUCCGCUCCAUGGCAACGCAGCUGCUGGCCAAAUUUGAGGAGAACUCUACAGAAAAAAUGCACAGCAAGAAUAAAGCUGAGAGACUAUCUACAAGAGAAUUUGCCAAAAAGACUAUAAAGGAGAGAGCUGUCCUCCUUUUGUCCACAUUUACUUGCUCCAGCAAACCUACACCUCCUCCUCUUUGCUCUCUUUCAGAGGCACAGGAUGAACAAUCUACCUCUCUACCUCUGUCUAAGAGCACCUCCAUGUACCCUGUGGUUCAUCCUGUCCCUGACCCCACUGUACAAGCUGGUUUCUCCCCUGCCCCCAUUUCUCCUCUUGACCGCAAGGAUAUGAAAGAACCUCCCUUUCCAUUGUUUUAUGCUGACUCUGACUCUUGUCAUGCUGAUUCCCCCUCUACAAGCUUAGCCCCCACUGAAAUGUCUUGCUCUAAUGAGAGCCAGGAUAUUGCAUCUCCACUUCCUGAAAUCAGCUUCUCAACAGGUCCAGUUUGUGCACUGUCAGAGGACAAUGCAGGGACAGAAUGCAGGCUUGAAAAUAAAUAUGUCCACAAAAGUGCCCGUGAGAGAUCUAACAGCCACAUAUGUGAAUGUGACGCAAAUGUGAAGUUCAAUGGAAGUUGUCAUCUUGAAGCCCCUAAAGGAAUUGUUCAAAAAUCAGUUAUUUGCUCUGAGAGUUGUCCAACCGGAGCUGCAAGCUACAGUAAAGAGCGAACAGUUGGAAGGGUGUCAUCGGCCAUAAAUGCUAAAGCCCAAAUACUGGCCAUCCUGUAUGAGACAGAUCACAGGCCCAAUGCUGCUCCGUGCGUUGGGCGUGGAUUUGGAGGCAGUGAUAUCUGCCACUUCUGCGCCAAGCGGGUAUACGUGAUGGAAAGACUGAGUGCUGAGGGCUACUUCUUCCACCGAGAGUGUUUCCGCUGUGAUGUCUGUAACUGCACCCUCCGUCUGGGUGGCUACACCUUUGACUCACAUGAGGCAAAGUUCUACUGUAGAAUGCAUUAUGCCCAACACCAAUCCAGUACACACUUUGGUAGAUUCAGGAAAAGAAAGGAUAACCACAGCCAUGUCACAUCCUUGGUGGCAGAAAGUGGGAGCAACUCAGCGACAAGUAGCAUCCAGACACAACCUCCAGGUACACUGGUUUCCUUGAUUAGGCGAGGCUUGAGCUGGCCGCGACGUGCUAGCCGAGCUGUUUGUGUGUUACCACAACACCUGUUGGGCAGUGUGCGUGAGUCUCUCCCAGCUGUGUGUUGCCACUUCAGAAGCUACUCGCAUGACUAUGUGUUCCUGUAUGAGCUGUUGAGCCUGGGCUGUCCUCUGCUCUGUGUGAUGCACGAGGUGCUUGGACAGAUCAACCAGGAGCCUCGGCUAUUUCAGCAGCAGCUCAUCGGCCUCUAGUUCACAUCGCUGAGGAAAUAGUCAAGGGCUUUUGUCACAGUUCAUCUGACAAGAAUGGUGUGCUCCGUUUACUCCUCAUACAUAUGGGAUCAACUAAUAUUGUCUUUGAUACCUACAUACCAAGUGCAUUUUGAUUCAGGUGAUUUUAGUAAGCAAUGUACACAUCACCUGACUAGUUUAGAUUGUUUACAUCUGCUUUAAAGGCUCUGCGCUUGACGUCAUUUUAAUCUUACCAAUAAUACAUGACUUCAUAUGUCAUGUACAGUACACGUGUGAAAUGCAAUAGACAUUGUGUUAGCUCAGAUAUGCAGGUUGUUGCAGAGUGCUGAAUGCAUCUGACUCACAGUGGCUUGUUCCAGGCUGCCUAGACUGUUUGAUUUGUUUAUUACCUUACAUAUAAUAUCAAAGGGACUGUAUGCAAUUAGCUCCAAAUUAGACUGUACAAAAAUAUUCUAUGUUUUUCACAAUUAUGAAUUAAACUGCAUAAACCUUGCCAUAAACUUUUGUUCGGCCCGAUUAAAAUAACCUUCGUGCAAUGGCUGUCACUCACCGCUGCCACCUGUUGAUGACAAUUUGACGCUGACAAUUCAGAGUCAUUGUGUGGUUAUGAUAGUCGGACAUUCGGUGAUAGCUAACAUUGGUAGCUAAACUUCACCACAUCACUGUUAUUAGCUGACAACAAACAACUAAUACACAUGCGUGUAUUUCGUCUUAGGUGCACAAAGCAAGAAGAGGUGAGUAUACAGUAUUGCUAUUUUUUACGUUCAAAUGUUGGGUCCUGUAGGAAACUGGAGGAACCCAGCAUACAGUCCCUUUCAUGAAUGACACAUAACAGUUGAGUACAAUGUGCAACCUUGCUAAACAUCACAAAAAAGUCUGCCUUUUGUUUAAUGCAACCUUGAAUUACAAUACAGCAACCUGGAACAUGCUCUUAAAUCUAAUCUUGGGUGGAUGCUCAUGCAUUAACUACAACUUGAAUGAACAGAAACUCCACAUAGAUGUUGAGCUAGCAUAUUGUCUGCUGCACAAAGACUAGAGAUGUGCAAUGAAAAUGCCAAAACUGUUGUUUUACCAUUAUGUAUUUACGAGAUUAUUUUUUAUUUAUUGUUUUUGUUUUACUGUGGUCUGCGUUUAAUUUGUUUACUGACUUAACAUUAUGCGUUGUUUUAAAAUCAAUAUACUGCUGCAAAAUAAAAGUCAGCUCCCUUUGCAGUGGAGCACAGGUGGUAUAGUAUUGUGAAGAAGUAAAAAUGUCUACAGGAGGUCCUCGGUCUAUGUAAAAGUUUAACUCAUACUACGGAGUUUCAAGUCAGACUUUAUACCUAAAAUAUAUCUAAAUUAACAUAAGUCACUCACACUGUACACAGAACACAUGAAGACCAUACAAAAUACAGUAAUAAAAAGAUUCAAUGCAAGAACUCCUUACUUGUACCCCUUUGGUUGGCUUACACACCGGAAAGGGCGUUGCGAGAGAGGGCGAGGCAGGCCUAUUGGGAGGAGGAUGUCUCAAUAAUAAGACUGCCACGCUGCUUAGUUAUCACUGUGAAUUUCAUAGGAGCAGAUCCUUUCACAUGUUCAAGAAUACCAUCUUUAUCCUUGAUCAAGGUUGCAACAGUCAAACGACUUAGACCAAGCAUGUGUACAAUGUUGGUCAGCGUUUCUCCCCUUUCUGACCACUGCACCAUGUGUAAUUUUACUUCCUUGGUGAUGGCUUUCAAAAGAGUUUACUCUGCAAAAAGUUCACAAAAAAGGACAAAAGUAAUGAUGUCCUUCUUCAGUGUAGCGACACGUGAUAAUCUUCCAUCUACAUAUUCUUCCACCACAAGCAUGUAACAAGUUCUCUUUACUUUAUGGGAGGGCGUCAAAACAUUGUAAAACGAGGACCGCCUGUAUUCUUGUUUAAUAUUUAAAGGCAGAUUUGCUUUUAUUUUUGUAUGUUUUCUUUUACUUUUGCCCAAAAAAGCAGGGAAAUAUGCAUUUCUUUUUAAUUCAUUGUAUUAAGUAUUUUCUUUUUUAACGUUUAUUUUGUGUUUCAGAUGAUAUGAAAGAUAGAUUCAACUGUAAAUUCUGCUCUUUGGGGUUGAUUUAGAGAGAGAUAUGAAACUCAUCCAGUCUUUUUUUUUUUAAGCAUCUUUUCAGCACUCCCAUUUCUGUUCAUUCAUUCAUCACCUCCUAUCACCCCGUACACGCAUCUCUCAAUCAUUUGUCUUAUUUUUCUCCUCAGUUCAUUCACUUCAUUUUGUUCAGACUGUUUCAAGUUUCCGAAGAACUAUAAAUAUUAAGGUGUUAAGUGUGGCACCGUACUGUUACAACUACACUACCAGGGUAUUAUAUUUACCCUGGUUAAGUAAGCAUAUUGUAAAUUGGAAUCUAUAGACCUCCAUACAACAUCAAUUGCAUUUAAAAAAAUAAAUACAUAAAAAUUGGCAAUUUUAUUAAAGGCUCUGAUGCUUGGAUGACACCUUUUCAGUAGACAUAUUCAUCGCAUCGUGUCUUUCAGUUUCACGGCGGGAAUGUGAUGAUCACUAAUACUAACGCUAGGUGUGUGCCGGUGUUCUUUACAAACCGCCUCCUAACAUCAAAUCGGCCUGCCUCAGUCAAUGCGUCCUUGUUAGCCACCCUUCUUUUCAGGCUACUUUGGCAGUAACACAUGUCCAAAUGUCUGUGGUCUGUCUUUGGUUCCCUCUGUUACAGACGAAGACCUUCUCCCUUCAGAAACCCUCUACAGAGCUCUCCCAUGUACCUGCUAGAAUUUGUCCCAAAAGCUCAGAUACCCAAUAGUUGCUUCUUUUUUUUUUCCUGUUUAGAAGUUUAGUAUGCUAUAGAAGCUAUGCACACCCCUUAAAAUAGUUUUUUUUUCUGAUGUAAAAAGAGACAUUACAAUCAUUUAUUACUUGAUUUAAAAAAAAAAAAAUUUAGAAAAUAAAAACUUGACAAAAAAUAAUGUGAAAAAGAAACAAUCAUUCAAAGGGAAAUAGGAAAAAUAAAACAUGUAAAACAAUUAGCUGACUGCAUCAGUGUGCACACCCUCAAACUAAUAGUAUGUUGAAGCACUUUUUUCAUUAUAUCAUCAUUCAUCAUCAUACAUCAGUCUUACUCUUCUUGCUAAAGGGAACCCAUAACUCCCCCCCACCCCCAACUACUUAAUUUUCAGUUUAAUUGUUGUGGUUAUGAGGUGUCAUCAUAUUUGUUAAGUUUUAAAAUAAUUCAUAAUGGUCUUUUUUUAUAUAGUAUAAAGUAUAUAUCAGAAAAAUGUGGUAUUUCAAGGGGGGUCUUCAUCUCUUUUUCUACCUGCUAUGUGUAUAUACAGUAUAUAUAUAUUGUUUUUGUCACUGUAGUUAAUACAUCAUGGAGCAUCCUAUCAGCAUUUUUAUUUCAACUCCUCAUAAGUACUGUAAAAGUUACUUAAUUUAUUUUAUUCAUGCAAUGAAAAUCGAACCAAAAAUAAAUACCAUUGAUACCAUACUUUUGUUUCUUGGUUUGUUUCUACAUAGUUCAAUUUUAGCUACAGAACUUAAAAUUAGAGUAGCCAUGUUAUGCUCGUUACAUUUUACAAAUACUUUCUAUAUGUACUAAUCACACAGUUGACAAUUGCAUUCACACCUGUAGUUGACCUAACAUCACCUACUCCAAUCAUGUUAACAGUCACUGUUUUUGUCACUCGGUUACCUCAUUUGGAACCGUGCAGCAGAUUUGAAAGGAUGGUGCUUUUUGUUGUUGUAAUAAUGCAGAAAUAUCAGGCCUGUGUGCAAAAAACAGAGCUAUAGUGAAAGCAUGUUCAUUCAAGCUGAACCCACAUUUGAUAGCGUUCACAUGACCAAAACUGAAGUGAAUCACAUUUCCUAUCAACUUCCUGCUGGACUAUAAUUCUGGGCUCUCUCACGUCUUUUCUUUUGGGUGGUAAUGCUGUUUCACACCUUGUCAACAUCUUUUUCUUAAUGUCUUCUUACAGAUAUGUAGCCGAUUUUAACAAGCAACCAACUAGUCUCAUUUCUACUUUGUUGUACAUGUUUUUAACUUUUCUUUGCAAUGAUCAAGUGGAACCAUCUUUGGAAAGAUACUGUUGUAUUGUUGACUUCAUUAUAUACAGGCAAUUCAAAAUUCAUUCAGAACAUGCAGCGAGAAGUCUGACAAGUGAUCUUGGAGACACAAACAUGGCUGUGGAAAAACUGACUGCUCACUGCAUAGUGAAACCUGCAGCACAAGAUGAAAUGGGGCCCAAUG